UUUCUCGUGCUUGGCCCGGGCGCCAUGCGGUGUGCGGUGCUGCCCUGGGAAGGGCGAGUCCGGAGGUAUCGUGGCCCGGCCGCGGGCUCGCGUGUCGCGUGGAUGGGCUCAAGGGCGCUGCUUGGGGCCGCGGGCGCGCUCGGGUUGAAACCGGGGUGUCCCGUGAAGGGACGGAUGCGGGCGCUUUCGGGGACAAUGCCUCACGCCAGGGGUGUGGAGCUGGGGAUGCCGGGACGGGCCUUCCUUUGUCUGUGCCUUAGCCGGGCUACGCCAUUUCUGCUGCUCUCGUCGCGGGUCCUGUCCGCCAUCUUACCCGUUUUUAGGUGGCAGGGAGGGGGGUGUGUGUCAUAGGAUUUUCCUCCCAGUGACAGCCCCGUGCUACCUGCAGGUUCUCUCCGUAGGAAGUCUCUACCACUGCCCCUACCUCCGUGUGGGAUUUUGGCAUUUUUGUGCAACCUAGAACACAUGAGGGCUGGAGGAGGAUGGGGUGUAGGGGCAGACACAAGAUACGGAGUUACCGAGGCGGAAGUGAGUCCACGUGGAGGACUGGAGUGCUUCGGAGCCGCAGGUAGGAGUAGACAGGAGAAAGGAAGUCAGGCCUUUUUUCCCGCCCGCGAGAACACCGAUGCAGUGUUGGACCUGAUGGUACAAGCAUGUCAUCCCAGCUACCCGAAUUUUGAAAGUAAAUCACGUAUUUCACCCAAGGUGUGUCUUGAAGACAAGUCACCGUCUACCAUCAUCUCUUUGUGACAGACAGUUCCUUCAGACCGCAGGCUCCCCCCCCCAGGCGGUUUCGGCAGACAGCCUGCUUCCCUCCAGAAUGUGACCUUGGCCAUGGCCGUGUUCACCAUCCUCGCUUCCAUCUACUUCUUCCACAAGGCUCAGCAGUGAGGAAGCACAACAGGUCCCCAGCCCACCAGCCUGGCCCCUGCUCUGCUGCCAUGGCUCUGGCCUCUGAGAUCUAAUAAAUGAACAGCAUCAGACCAAGGCUUCCUGCUGCCCACAGCCCUGCUCCCACAGCCCUGCUUCCCACAGCCCUGCUCCCCACAGCCCUGCUCCCCACAGCCCUGCUCCCACAGCCCUGCUCCCACAGCCCUGCUCCCACAGCCGCCCUGCUCCCAAACAGCCCUGCUCCCACAGCCCUGCUCCCACAGCCCUGCUCCCACAGCCCUGCUCCCACAGUCCUGCUCCUCCAGGUCCACGGAUUGCACAAUCAGCCAAAAUCUCAGAACAAGAAGAAAAGUAGAGACCUCGUCCCUAGAUCUGAGGGAGGAGGCUUGGGCCCUGUCCCUCCGAGUCUGAGGGAGGAGACUGGGCCCUGGACCACUGAGUCUGAGGGAGGAGACUGGGCCCUGGACCUCCGAGUCUGAGGGAGGAGACUGGGCCCUGGACCUCCGAGUCUGAGGGAGGAGACUGGGCCCUGUCCCUCCGGGUCUGAGGGAGGAGGCUGGGCCCUGGACCUCUGAGUCUAGGGAGGAGUGCUGGAGCUUGGAUCCCUGGGUCCCUGGGUCUGAGGGAGGAGUGCUGGAGCUUGGAUCCCUGGGUCCCUGGGUCUGAGGGAGUUUUGGAAACUGAGGCAGGAGUGACAGUGACUUGUGCUCUCUAGUUGGAGGAUCAGGGUCCAGUGUCUGAUCUGGGUUUUGAGGAAUGAGUAGGAGUCUGUAAGGGCACAUGGGUAUCCGAAAGGCAUUUCAGCUGAUGCUGGAGCACGAAGAUGACUUCCAGGCUCCAAUUCUCCACCUGGCACCAAGCAACUUGUUCAGGACUUAAGGCUUGUCACUUCUCUCUGAGCACUCCUGCCAGCCGAGGUGAAAACUGCUUAACAGAAGGCCACACUAAGGAUUGCUGGAGGUCAAAUGCUGAGCGGACAUGACUGUGUAAGUGCCCAGAACCUCAAAUAGGGGAUCUGCCAGGCAGCACUCAGGCACCUUCCUGCCACUUCUCCAGCCUCCCCAGCGGAAUGCCAUGAGGAACACCUCUGUCCAAGUGACCUCUGAACAAGAGUCUAAGUGGCCAUGGAGUUGGAGUUUUAAUUUGUGGAGCAGACUGGCCCUCCCGCCUGGACUCGCUCCUAGACUCUUCCCAAGCCUCCACCUCCUGCUGUCAGCAGAGUGGCCUCUCUCCAACCCGAGACCACCCUGACCCUCUCUCCUCUCAGGGCCCCCCCAGGCCUCUCUGCUAUAUCCUUAGUCCCAUAGCUCAACCCAGUAAUACGGUUACCCCAUGACUGUCCACCUGCGGGCCCACAGCUGAGGCGAGCUUCGGAACAUCUAUUUCGCAAACACUGAGAGCAUUCCUUCCUGCCUCCCCUCCUCACUCCCCAGGUGGGCUUGGCUGCUUAACCGCAUAACCAAGUCAACCUUUGUGUCACCCACAUCCUCCUGGCUCCAGCGCUUGACCGUUUAUGAGGUCUCUGUGUCCUCAGAGGGCUAUCAACUUAGCAUUUCCUCAGCCGCAGUCUAUCCAGGGCGGAUGGAUACAUCUCAGGCCGGCGCUGUGGUGAUCCACUGAGCUGGGGGGGGGGGGGUGACGACAUCGGACUCCGCUCUGAAAGCUCCCCAGGGUGCUAUGAAUGGACAGUUGGGAUUCUGAGGCUGCUCACUAUUGGGAAGAUGCUGAGCGCUUCGCAGAAAUUCUUUCAGAGACCUCUACUCAGAGAUGGAACUUUUUAAAAUGUUCACUGUUUAUUUUUAAAAAUAAAUACUUGCUAUGUGUCA